AACGCACCUUGCGCUCCUUGGUAUUCCGAGGAGCAUGCCUGUUUGAGUGUCAUUAAAUUCUCAACCUCACCAACUUUGGUUGUGUGAAGGCUUGGAUGUGGGGGUUGCAGGUCCGCUUUGGUGGUCUGCUCCUCUAAAAUGUAUUAGUGGGUUAGUCCCCUAAUCUAUUGGUGUGAUAAUUAUCUACGCCGUGGAUUGGGAUGGCUAUAUAGACUCGCUUCUAACCGUCCUCAUGGACAACUUUGACAAUUUUGACCUCAAAUCAGGUAAGACUACCCGCUGAACUUAA
rnacentral:misc_RNA from 1 species